AAAGAAUUAUCAUGAUGGAACUUGAAAAAGAAUAGGCUGAAUUAUUUUUUUGAUAUGCUGGCUCUACCAGACAGAGGCUGUGAUCCAGGCCACAGGUACCACAGGAACUGGCCAGGGCUUCAUGGAUCCUGGCCAUGCCUUCCAGCAGAAAGGCAGCAGGAGCAGGUCUCAGCCCUUUUGCAGGCUAGAACAACCACACAAAUUACUUGUCCAACCUCAGGUUGCUGUUGCUGUUACCCUUAUCAAUGGAAACUCACUAGAACAGAGGAAUAUCAGCUCAUCUUACCUGGCAUUUUCAUGUGAAAUCACUUUCUGCACGCAGGAUGUACAGUUUCAUGAAGCCAAUAAAAUUCCUGUGAAUUCUGCACUGUCCAACCAGGAGUCGAUCGGAUCCAUGCUGGGCUGGCAGUCUCAGUGAUCCAUAUGACUAUAGCACUCACAGGGAUGGCUGGGUACAUAUCCUGAAAAACCUCUUUGCCAUUAAAGCUGAUUUAGGACCUUCUGUUAACCCUUGUUUACUCCUGGUUGUUCAGCUUCAGUCUGGUAAUAUCGUGUGUUGCUUCCCUCUUUUUAUUUGCACUGGUAAAUCAUAUUAAAUGGGGCUUUCUGCAGAUGGUCACUGUGUGAGUACAUCUUUGGUUGAAGACAGAUGGUGAGAUAGGAAGUCUGAAAUUGCAGCAAACCAUGGAUUCUUGUCCCUCCUGUCAUGCUGAAUACCUAUAUAUUCGCUCAGGCUUUUACUUGAAUUGGGGUUUGUGAAGAGUUGAAUUCCCUAGAGGAUGUGCUGAGAUUUUUAAUUUAACGCUCAUUACUUCAACAAACACAAUGCAUUUGCAUUUGCA
rnacentral:lncRNA from 12 species